UAACACAAACAAGGGCUCGCCAACCAGGGU
rnacentral:piRNA from 1 species